rnacentral:rRNA from 1 species
GAUGAACGCUGGCGGCGUGCCUAAUACAUGCAAGUCGAGCGAACAGACGAGGAGCUUGCUCCUCUGACGUUAGCGGCGGACGGGUGAGUAACACGUGGAUAACCUACCUAUAAGACUGGGAUAACUUCGGGAAACCGGAGCUAAUACCGGAUAAUAUAUUGAACCGCAUGGUUCAAUAGUGAAAGACGGUUUUGCUGUCACUUAUAGAUGGAUCCGCGCCGCAUUAGCUAGUUGGUAAGGUAACGGCUUACCAAGGCAACGAUGCGUAGCCGACCUGAGAGGGUGAUCGGCCACACUGGAACUGAGACACGGUCCAGACUCAUACGGGAGGCAGCAGUAGGGAAUCUUCCGCAAUGGGCGAAAGCCUGACGGAGCAACGCCGCGUGAGUGAUGAAGGUCUUCGGAUCGUAAAACUCUGUUAUUAGGGAAGAACAAAUGUGUAAGUAACUAUGCACGUCUUGACGGUACCUAAUCAGAAAGCCACGGCGAACUACGU